rnacentral:misc_RNA from 1 species
GAUGAAGAACGUAGUGAAAUGCGAUAAGUAGUGUGAAUUGCAGAAUUCAGUGAAUCAUCGAAUCUUUGAACGCACAUUGCGCCCCUUGGUAUUCCAUGGGGCAUGCCUGUUCGAGCGUCAUUUGUACCUUCAAGCUUUGCUUGGUGUUGGGUGUUUGUCCCGAGGGACUCGCCUUAAAGUAAUUGGUAGCCAGUGUUUGGUUUUGAAGCGCAGCACAAGUCGCGAUUCAAGGCUACACGCCCGCUUCCACAAGCCUUUUUUCACUUUUGACCUCGGAUCAGGUAGGGAUACCCGCUGAACUUAAGCAUAUCAAUAAGCGGAGGA